ACUCCUCUGCCUGACUAACAAACGAACAGGUUAAAAACCCCAGAGUGCCACAGAAGACACAAGGCUGGGUUUCUAGGAACUCAGCUGCCAAAGGGGCCUCUGGUGAGGCUUUAAGAGAGCAAUUCCACCUUCAGGGAGAUGUUGUUAUAAGCUGGAAGUGUUUUCCAGUGUGAAGCUCCAAAGCUGAAGAAGAGGUAAAAAAUGAAACCAGCUCAGUGAGUGAACAGCAGAGAUCACAGAUCAGGAGGGAAGCUCGAGACUCAACAGGUGACUCAGCUACAUCAGGACCCAGAAACCUCCGGGCCCUCAGUCCUUUGAUCUCCUGGGUGGAUCGCAGUGAAAGUCCGGGACACCAUCAGCAAGGCUGUCCUGCCACAGAAAUGCAAGUUCA